rnacentral:rRNA from 1 species
UACGGAGGGGACUAGCGUUGUUCGGAAUUACUGGGCGUAAAGCGCACGCAGGCGGAUUUGUAAGUCAGGGGUGAAAUCCCGGGGCUCAACCCCGGAACUGCCUUUGAUACUGCGAAUCUCGAGUCCGGAAGAGGUGAGUGGAAUUCCUAGUGUAGAGGUGAAAUUCGUAGAUAUUAGGAAGAACACCAGUGGCGAAGGCGGCUCACUGGUCCGGUACUGACGCUGAGGUGCGAAAGCGUGGGGAGCAAACAGG